UGCCACAGCCAUAUCAUCCUGCAGCCCAAGACUGGUUACUCACUGAAGCUAAGCAGGGCUAAACCUGGUCAGCAACUGGAUGGGAUACCACAUGGGAAAACUAGGUUGCUCUUGGAA
rnacentral:rRNA from 1 species